GUGCUGCUGCGCCCCGGCCCCGGCCGUGUGGGCCUCGAUGGCGGCGGCGCCGCCGGUCUACGUGUACAGCCCGGAGUACGUGGAGCUCUGCGACUCCCUCUGCAAAGUGCCCAAGCGGGCCAGCAUGGUGCAUUCGUUGAUUGAGGCGUAUUGCCUGCUCGACCAGAUGAAGAUAGUCAAGCCAAAAGUGGCCUCCAUGGAGGAGAUGGCAAGUUUCCACACAGAUGCUUACCUGCAGCACCUGCAGAAGGUCAGUGAGGAGGGGGAUGAUGACCAUCCGGAGUCUGUGGAGUAUGGACUGGGUUAUGACUGUCCAGCCACUGAAGGGAUCUUUGAGUAUGCGGCGGCCGUGGGAGGAGCCACCAUCACUGCAGCCCAGUGCCUGCUGGACGGCAAGUGCAAGGUAGCAAUUAACUGGCCUGGAGGGUGGCAUCAUGCAAAGAAGGAUGAAGCUUCUGGCUUCUGUUACCUGAAUGAUGCCGUCCUGGGGAUCCUGCGGCUGCGCCAGAAAUUUGACCGUGUGCUUUAUAUCGAUUUGGAUUUGCAUCAUGGGGAUGGAGUUGAAGAUGCCUUUAGUUUCACCUCGAAAGUCAUGACUGUUUCUCUGCACAAGUUUUCACCAGGAUUUUUUCCAGGCACUGGUGAUGUGACAGAUGUUGGCCUGGGGAAAGGUCGCUAUUACAGCGUGAACGUGCCCAUUCAAGAUGGCAUUCAAGAUGAGAAAUAUUACCAGAUCUGUGAAACCGUGCUGAAGGAGGUGUACGCCGCCUUCAACCCCGACGCGGUCGUGCUGCAGCUGGGGGCCGACACCAUCGCUGGGGACCCCAUGUGCUCCUUCAACAUGACGCCCGAGGGAGUGGGCAAGUGCCUCAAGUAUGUCCUGCAGUGGCAGCUAGCAACUCUCGUGCUGGGGGGAGGAGGUUACAACCUUGCCAACACAGCUCGCUGCUGGACAUACUUGACUGGGGUGAUCCUUGGGAGAACACUGUCCUCGGAGAUCCCUGACCACGAGGUACCCACAGAGAACCCUGCCCCCAGCCUCAGCCACCAGGGCCUCUCUGCUGACUCUCCCCUCCUCUUCCCUCCAGUUCUUCACAGAGUAUGGUCCUGACUACGUGCUGGAGAUCACCCCAAGCUGCAGACCAGACCGCAAUGAGCCACAGAGAAUUCAAGAAAUUCUGAACUCUAUCAAAGGGAAUCUGAAGCAUGUUGUUUAGCAGAGGAGGAAGGCUCAGUUUCUGCAAGAGCAUUUCCCAUGGGGAAGACAGCGUAUUUACCUGAGCAACUGGUGAAAUUUGUGGCUGCAGGGAAAAUUUGGAAGAAAUUACUGUUGGUUGGUUAAUUUUUUUUCUCUUUUAAGAAGAAAAGCUGCUGCACGUCACGAGCACUGUGGCUCUCCCCAGGCAGGAGUGUGGGCCCUCCAGCCACAGCCUUCCAGUGCCGGCAGAGCCUCCCUUGCUCCUUCCCCUUUCCUUUUUUAACACCACAGAGUUUGUUCUCACAACUGAUUUUAAAUGUUUUUUAAGAGAGAGGCUGCUCAGAGCUUCAAGCCCUCCCCAGCUGGAGCCCAGAACCACGUUACCUUCCUGGCAGGGGCACAGCCUCAGAGCUGCCCGCCCGGGAAGCAGAGCCGAGGGCCAGCCUGGGGCACAGGCUGUGUCUCCUACCCACAGAAAGGCACAGCCACUGUGUUUUUAACUGGGAAUUUUUUUUAAAAUAAAAUGUUUGAAAUAUUC